rnacentral:rRNA from 1 species
CAGCACCUCAAAUGGUCAGGAUGAUUAUUGGGCCUAAAGCAUCCGUAGCCGGCUCUGUAAGUUUUCGGUUAAAUCUGUAUGCUCAACAUACAGGCUGCCGGGAAUACUGCAGAGCUAGGGAGUGGGAGAGGUAGACGGUACUCGGUAGGAAGGGGUAAAAUCCUUUGAUCUAUUGAUGACCACCUGUGGCGAAGGCGGUCUACCAGAACACGUCCGACGGUGAGGGAUGAAAGCUGGGGGAGCAAACCGGAUUAGAUACCCGAGUAGUCC